UCUGGUGGUCACAAACGUUGGAGC
rnacentral:piRNA from 1 species